rnacentral:lncRNA from 1 species
UGGUCAACGUGAAAUUUGCAGCCCAAUUGAUACAAUUGAUCUGAAUUGUAAGGUAAUCAUGCAUGCACAGUUGUGCUCGGUGUAUCAUUAUGAUUUAUCGGCGCACACGAGGUUAAUUAUUGUUAGCCCGUCCAGAUUGAUCAUUUUGUGGUCCUGCCCUUGCUGAAUAAUUACUGAAUAUUCUUUGUUCGACAUUAUUUUUACAAGAAUAUUUCAUUUCAUUUUACUUCAUUUAUUUUGUAACCUAUAGUUAAAUCACGCAAAAGCUGUCAACACAUGAACAAUGUAUUUUUAAGGGUCGGUUGCAUUUGAUCUGAAUGUGUUUUCUAGAGUCAUGUUUUGCAAGCUAAAUAUUUAUUUAACUGUCGGGUAGGUUGCUGGUGAGGUGUUCACAUCUGUAUCUUGGCCAUGUAGGUGCUGGGUCAGAACUGAGAUCUAUGCAUGCAAAAUCCAACAGAAUGAUGUUGCCACAAGAAAGAAUGCUGUGUAGACUUCCUGGCUUACUCAUAUUUUAGCGCGCUGCUGUUUUUUGAUUUGUUAAAUUUCAUGAAAAUCAUUUAUCAGGAGGAAGUGGUACUAGAGGUGUUGGGUCGCUACUGAUUUUUUUUCCUGUAAUGUACAGUCUAAUCAAAUUCUUAAACAUAUCUAGCUUUUCCUAUUGCAGCACAAAAAGUAACAGGGAGGCACUUGCUUUAGCGAAUUUUGGCAUGACAUUCUGUUAUAGCUCAGUUGCUUUUGUUUCAUGUAAUUGGUGCUUUUAUUAG